rnacentral:rRNA from 1 species
GCUUGUCUCAAAGAUUAAGCCAUGCAUGUCUAAGUAUAAGCAACCUUAUACAGCGAAACUGCGUACAGCUCAUUAUAUCAGCAAUUAUUUAUUUGAAGAUCACCUAUUACAUGGAUAACCGUGGUAAUUCUAGAGCUAAUACAUGCAUCAAACCCCGACUUCUGGAAGGGGUGUAUUUAUUAGAUGGAAACCAAUGCGGGGCAACCCGGAUUCUGGUGAUUCAUAAUAACUUUCGGAUCGAUCUUCGGAUCGAUGCAUCAUUCAAGUUUCUGCCCUAUCAGCUUUGGAUGGUAGGGUAUUGGCCUACCAUGGCUUUAACGGGUAACGGAGAAUUAGGGUUCGAUUCCGGAGAGGGAGCCUGAGAAAUGGCUACCACAUCCAAGGAAGGCAGCAGG